AUGAACGCUGGCGGCGUGCCUCAUCCCUGCAAGUCGAGCGCACAGACGAGGAGCUUGCUCCUCUGACGUUAGCGGCGGACGGGUGAGUAACACGUGGAUAACCUACCUAUAAGACUGGGAUAACUUCGGGAAACCGGAGCUAAUACCGGAUAAUAUAUUGAACCGCAUGGUUCAAUAGUGAAAGACGGUUUUGCUGUCACUUAUAGAUGGAUCCGCGCCGCAUUAGCUAGUUGGUAAGGUAACGGCUUACCAAGGCGACGAUGCGUAGCCGACCUGAGAGGGUGAUCGGCCACACUGGAACUGAGACACGGUCCAGACUCCUACGGGAGGCAGCAGUAGGGAAUCUUCCGCAAUGGGCGAAAGCCUGACGGAGCAACGCCGCGUGAGUGAUGAAGGUCUUCGGAUCGUAAAACUCUGUUAUUAGGGAAGAACAAAUGUGUAAGUAACUAUGCACGUCUUGACGGUACCUAAUCAGAAAGCCACGGCUAACUACGUG
rnacentral:rRNA from 1 species